rnacentral:rRNA from 1 species
GUCUGUAUGAAGUUAUAUGGAGUCUAACCUGCCCGUUGAAAAGUUUUGAAAGGCCGCGGUAUAUUAACUGUGCAAAGGUAGCAUAAUCAUUAGUUUUUUAAUUGAAGGCUUGUAUGAAGGGUUGGACAAAGAAAAAUCUGUCUCUAUUUUUAUUUUUGAAUUUUACUUUUAAGUGAAAAGGCUUAAUUAAUUUAAAGGGACGAUAAGACCCUAUAAAUCUUUAUAUUAAUUUAUUUUUAAAUAAUUAGUUUUGUAAAAAUAAUUUAUAAAAAUAAAAAAUAUUUUGUUGGGGCGAUGAGAAUAUAUAUAUAACUGUUUUAAAUUAUAAACAAAGUUAUUUGUUAAAAUUUAAAGAUCCUUUAUAAAGAUUAUAAGUUUAAGUUACUUUAGGGAUAACAGCGUUAUUUUUUUUGAGAGUUCUUAUCGAAAAGAAAGUUUGCGACCUCGAUGUUGAAUUAAAAUAUCUUUAUGGUGUAGCUGCUAUAAAAAGAAAGUCUGUUCGACUUUUAAAUUUUU